rnacentral:rRNA from 1 species
AAAACUCCCUUGACGGUACUUAAUGAAUAAGCCCCGGCUAAUUAUGUGCCAGCAGCCGCGGUAAUACAUAAGGGGCGAGCGUUAUCCGGAAUUAUUGGGCGUAAAGGGUGCGUAGGCGGUUUAAUAAGUCUAUAGUUUAAUUUCAGUGCUUAACGCUGUUGUGCUAUAGAAACUGUUUUACUAGAGUGAGUUAGAGGCAAGCGGAAUUCCAUGUGUAGCGGUAAAAUGCGUAAAUAUAUGGAGGAACACCAGAGGCGUAGGCGGCUUGCUGGGACUUUACUGACGCUGAGGCACGAAAGCGUGGGGAGCAAACAGGAUUAGAUACCCUGGUAGUCCACACCGUAAACGAUGAGUACUAAGUGUCGGGUAAAACCGGUACUGAAGUUAACACAUUAAGUACUCCGCCUGAGUAGUACGUACGCAAGUAUGAAACUUAAAGGAAUUGACGGGACUCCGCACAAGCGGUGGAUCAUGUUGUUUAAUUCGAAGAUACACGAAAAACCUUACCAGGUCUUGACAUUUUCUUGCGAAGUUAUAGAAAUAUAAUGGAGGUUAUCAGGAAAACAGGUGGUGCAUGGUUGUCGUCAGCUCGUGUCGUGAGAUGUUAGGUUAAGUCCUAAAACGAGCGCAACCCUUGUCGUUAAUUGCCAGCAUGUAAUGAUGGGGACUUUAACGAGACUGCCAAUGAAAAAUUGGAGGAAGGUGGGGAUUACGUCAAAUCAUCAUGCCCCUUAUGAUCUGGGCUACAAACGUGAUACAAUGGUUGAUACAAAGAGUAGCUGAAACGCGAGUUCUUAGCCAAUCUCACAAAAUCA